CUUCCUGGGCCUGGGACCCGAGGGGAGCCGAGCGGGAAUUGCUUUCCUGGUUCGAUCCGCUGCCGCUGUGAGGGCCGAGCGGAAACCCGUAGACCUUUUAUGUGAAGAGAUUGCGGCCUCCUGGUCACCAGUCACCGAGAGAGGGACCCCUGGACCGCCUACGUGGUGGUGUCUGCCGCAGGCCAUAGGGAUCCAGCCCACUUAGGCAGUCCCUUGGGGACGCGGCCUUCCCUCCGGAGCGGAAAGGCGCUUCCCGCCCGCCCUGCGGUAAUCCCGGAAGCCCUCAGCCGUUAAGCUAAAAUUUCUGUUGCUUUGGCUACUGAUGGAAACCUGUUGUAAGUGGAACCUCUAAACUGUAUGACAGGUGAACCCACUUUAGGUAGCUGUGUGAUUCUGUCCACUUGUACAGACGUGCAGUGGUUUUUAAGUCUCCUAUAAUGACGUCAUUUUAAAGAGGCAUUUCCUCCACCCCGCUGACAAGAGCGCCUCUUGAGGGCCCUAAACAAUGUAAACAGCGAUGAUUUUCAUGAAUUGAGCACUGUGUAAGGGCUUUACAUAUAUUCUGUCUCAUCUUCACGGAGCCAUAGUACCCAUUUUAUACCUGAGGAACCUGAAGCUCAGAAAGGAAAAGGGACCUGGCCAAGACCACAUAACCCUUGCCCUAUUUUAACCGCUGGAUGCCCCAAAACAUGAAUCAUAAAAAUGCUUUGUAAUGUAGAUAUAUUAUGUACUAUGUAGUACAUAAAAGACAUGAAUGCUUCAACAAAA
rnacentral:lncRNA from 10 species